rnacentral:rRNA from 1 species
CUUGCUUCUCUGUCGGCGAGUGGCGAACGGGUGAGUAUAGCAUCGGAACGUGCCAAGUAGUGGGGGAUAACCAAACGAAAGUUUGGCUAAUACCGCGUAAGCUCUAAGGAGGAAAGUAGGGGACCUAAAUAAGGCCUUACGCUAUUUGAUCGGCCGAUGUCGGAUUAGCUAGUUGGUGGGGUAAUGGCUCACCAAGGCAAUGAUCCGUAGCGGGUCUGAGAGGACGAUCCGCCACACUGGGACUGAGACACGGCCCAGACUCCUACGGGAGGCAGCAGUGGGGAAUUUUGGACAAUGGGGGAAACCCUGAUCCAGCCAUGCCGCGUGUAUGAAGAAGGCCUUAGGGUUGUAA